rfam:Aedes aegypti strain Liverpool supercont1.48 genomic scaffold, whole genome shotgun sequence.
CCUCUCAUGGCGUAGUGGUAACGCGUCCCAACUAGAGAUCGGGGAGUCGUGAGUUCGAUUCUCACUGAGAGGA